GGGAAUCUUGCGCAAUGGCCGAAAGGCUGACGCAGCGACGCCGCGUGUGGGAGGACGCCUUUCGGGGUGUAAACCACUGUUGCCCGGGACGAACUUCUGGUUUCGACCAGACUGACGGUACCGGGUGAGGAAGCACCGGCUAACUCCGUGCCAGCAGCCGCGGUAAU
rnacentral:rRNA from 1 species